CUCACUCGAGAGCAGCAGGGUGCCAAUGAAGCCCAUGUGUCGCAUGGCAGAUUUUCUUAUGUCUGCCUCGUUAUUUUCUUUUUAAUUUAUCUGAAGCUUUGAGUGUAAUUGAAUUAGGGUUGUGAAAAGUAUCGUGUGACUAGUUAACAUUGAGUUAAGAUGGAAAAACACAUGUUUGUGACAUUGGUUUAAUGGCUGUGUUACAGCGUGUGACAGUGAGAACCUGUUCCUAAUAAAAAAUGAGGUCAGAAUAGACAUUAACAAAGAGCUGAACGAUCUCUCUCUCUCUGUGUGUGUAGGAACAUCCUUUACUGGGCCAACCGUUUUUCAUGCUUCAUCCAUGUCGCACUGAGGAGUUUAUGAAACCUGCUCUGGAUUUGGCACAAGCUGAAAACAAGAGGAUGAACUAUAUCGUGACUUGGCUCAGUGUUGUUGGACCCGUCGUCAGACUGGACGUCCCUUUGAGCUACAGCACCGAGGUGUCUGCUCCCGACUGAAGCUCCUCUGCUGUGAUCUCCCUGUCUGUCUCAGACUCCACAGACCCAGAGGACGUGCAGAGGACAUGCUGAGGGUCUCCGAGGGGCCAAAGACGCUUCAGAAGUCUUGUUAGCAAUGCUUGAGCAUUCAAGACACCAAGUUCACAAGCAUUUUAAAAAUCAUCAGAGCAGCUGUGUGUGCAGGCAUAUGGAGGAUUGCUAUUCAAACAUUAGUCUGGAUGUCUUUGUCUUCAGCUGCGUAGGUGUGUGUGUGUGUGUGACUCUUCAUUGGUCGGAUGUUGUGAAGCAUGCAGCUACAUUUGGCCUUAUUUUUGUACAUUUCAGCGGCCUGAAUCGAGUCAACAUGAUUUG
rnacentral:lncRNA from 1 species